GCACAAGCGGUGGAUGAUGUGGAUUAAUUCGAUGCAACGCGAAGAACCUUACCUACCCUUGACAUGUCCGGAACUUGCCAGAGAUGGCUUGGUGCCCGAAAGGGAAUCGGAACACAGGUGCUGCAUGGCUGUCGUCAGCUCGUGUCGUGAGACGUUGGGUUAAGUCCCGGCAACCGAGCGCAACCCUUAUCAUUAGUUGCUACGCAAGGGCACUCUAAUGAGACUGCCGGUGACAAACCGGAGGAAGUGGGGAUGACGUCAAGUCCUCAUGGCCCUUAUGGGUAGGGCUUCACACGUCAUACAAUGGUCGGUACAGAGGGUUGCCAAGCCGCGAGGCGGAGCCAAUCCCACAAAGCCGAUCGUAGUCCGGAUUGUUCUCUGCAACUCGAGAGCAUGAAGUCGGAAUCGCUAGUAAUCGCAGGUCAGCAUACUGCGGUGAAUACGUUCCCGGGUCUU
rnacentral:rRNA from 1 species